GCUGUGCAAUCCAGCUUAUUUUGACAAAAAUAAUCUUACUUUUUUUUUAUUUUUUUGAUUUUUUG
rnacentral:tRNA from 1 species